AUCCUUGGGAGUGUUGUACUCAUUUUAAAGGUAGACAACUGAAGUAUAGAAGAGUUAAACAGCUUGCCUAAUCACUCGAACGGAGAGGAGUCCUGCGCUCUGCAAUAGCGGACUGCAACAUCUCCCAACAACAAAAGAAAGUGCACUUCUGAUGAAACCGGCCACCCACUGUCUCACAUUUGAUUGGAUCUCCGAAUGACCAUCAGCAUCAUCAACCACGAAAUACAUGCCAGUUUUUAACUCCCUGCUAGGUCCUCAAGAUCUUAAAGUCUAAAACUUGGACCUCGCCCUCAAGGAGCUUACCGUUUAAAAAGGAAAAAAGCCAACUAUGUCAAAACCGUCAACCUGCCUAGACAGACAACAGCAUGGCAAGGCUGGGAGAGGGAGAAGUGGGGGUGCUUCUAGACACUUCAGGAGCUGCAGCAAUACUUUUGUCUAUUUUCUAGGACUUCCUGGUACACUCACUUGGUGCUGCACUACUCCCUUAUAGUCUGUUAGGUCCUCAUCUAUGAGGGGACAUUAGCAUUGAAUCACAGAAUCUUAGAGCUGGCAUGGAGCUUGGAGGUCAUUUAAUCCAACCCACUCAUUUUAAAAACUGGCCAUCUGAGACCCAACGAUGUUAAACAGCUUGGCCAAGGUCAUGCAGCUAGUUUAGUAAUGAAAUUGGAACUAUAAACCAUGUCUUCUGAUAGCUGCUUUUUUCUGCUGCUACUCAAAUUGAUGGCAGUUUUAACCAUU